UACAGAGGUCCCAAGCGUUGUUCGGAUUCAUUGGGCGUAAAGGGUGCGUAGGCGGUUUGUUGCGUCGGCUGUGAAAUCCCGAGGCUCAACCUCGGGUCUGCAGUCGAUACGAGCAAACUAGAGUGUUGCAGGGGAGACUGGAAUUUACGGUGUAGCGGUGAAAUGCGUAGAUAUCGUAAGGAAGACCAGUGGCGAAGGCGGGUCUCUGGGCCGAUACUGACGCUGAGGAGCGAAAGCGUGGGGAGCGAACAGG
rnacentral:rRNA from 1 species